AGCAGCCGCGGUAAUUCCAGCNCNAAUAGCGUAUAUUAAAGUUGUUGCAGUUAAAAAGCUCGUAGUUGAACUUCAGACCUGGCUGGGCGGUCAGCUUAUCGGCGUGUACUGUCCGGCUGGGCCUUACUUCUUGGUGAGCCGGUGUGCCCUUUAUUGGGUGCGUCGGUGAACCAGGACCUUUACCUUGAGAAAAUUAGAGUGUUCAAAGCAGGCCUAUGCCCGAAUACAUUAGCAUGGAAUAAUAAAAUAGGACGUGCGGUUCUAUUUUGUUGGUUUCUAGAGUCGCCGUAAUGAUUAAUAGGGAUAGUUGGGGGCAUUGGUAUUGAGUCGCUAGAGGUGAAAUUCUUGGAUUGACUCAAGACCAACUAUUGCGAAAGCAUUUGCCAAGGAUGUUUUCAUUAAUCAAGAACGAAGGUUAGGGGAUCGAAAACGAUUAGAUACCGUUGUAGUCUUAACAGUAAACUAUGCCGACUAGGGAUCGGAUGACCUCAAUUAUUAUGUGUCA
rnacentral:rRNA from 1 species